CAUAAGGAUGUUGCUUCAAUGUUCAUUUUGUUAUUAAAAUCAAUCUCCUACUGACGCGAUUUUGUGAAAUCAAUCUCCUAUUGAUCGACAUGGUGAUGUGCAAUUAGGUACGCCUCUCAUCACCUCUCACAAAUGCAUUCAUGCGUGAUAUAUGCUUGAUAAAAAGACGGAUUGAAAAAACUGUGCUUGAUCAAAUCAUUGCUAACACAGUUUGGUGGCAAUCUAUAAACACUCAAACAAUAGUACACUUUUUGGUUUUCAUACUCUACUUACAUAAUGGGGUUCAUAAAGGAGUAGUAAUAUGUUUGAUUUUUGCAUGUUGUCAUUUAUAAGAGAAAAUCAAAUUCUUGAAUUCGUAAUAACACUGCAAGGUGGGUUGGAGACAAUGUUAAUUAAAUAUUUUCACUAAGAUAAAUGACAAGAUAAGUCUAUUUUAUGUGGUGAAAAGAGGCUAUAAUUUCCAUGGUUGGAGAGAGUUUUGCAAGAGGAUAUCUAUCCACUUACGAGAUAUUCUUAUUUAGAUUAGAAUAUCAUUUUAGGGACUAGAUGAUAAGUUCCAGUAAAGUCUUUCAAAAAACAAAUGUUCAGUAUCACAACUUUUGGGGUGUUUUUUUUGGAAAGGGCUGGUUUGAAGAUUAUUUUGACUAGCGACAGUAUCACAACUUCAGCGGACAUUGAGGAGGGCUCAGACAAUCUACAUGCAAGAACAAAUGUUGUUUGUGCAUAUUGUCGCUCACUCACUAUGGUGUGAUUUUCAAAAGUUGGUCUGUAUGUGUAUGUGUAGAGUUAUAACCUAGGUAUGCCUUUUCAUUUUGCACAUAUCAGCAAAAAUUUAAUCAAACUGUUAGGUUUGUUAUAGCCAAUGUAAUCUUCGCAUUUAUCAUGCUUGGUGCUUUACUUCCACAAUGCCAUUAUCAUAUUAAAAGUAGUGUCAAUGGGAAUGAUAAAAAUGAUAUCAUAAAUAAAUUCCUACAAGACCAUUGUUGGUUUGGCGCGUUGUGCUCUGGUCAAAGAGCUAUUUACUGAUUAAUUUGUGGUUACCAUGGUACUAUACGCUUUGGCAAAGUAAGUGACUGACCUUAUGCAUCAUCUUCUUAUUGUGAAGUCAGCUUGCUUAAGGUGUCACUAAAGUUAUGCAACUUAUAAUUUCAAUUGUAGGCAUCAGCAUCAAGCAGCCUAGGGAGAAGGUCACCUUACUCAGAAACUCUUUUUUUUAGCACCUGCAAUACCAUUACCACUCAAGCUGCAGGAAAGCAUCCCUUCCUAACACUCUACUCAGGCAUGCCUUUGCAACUUGGUCCUUCAUUGCGGAGACUUUUCUUUUCCUGUAUGUUGGUAUGGAUGCGCUUGAUAUCGGAAAGUGGGAGUUUGCUAGUGACAGCCCUGGGAAAUCCAUUUGCAUAAGCUCAAUUUUGCUAGGAUUAGUUCUGGUGGGAAGAGCUGCUUUUCCCCCCACUGUCCUUCUUGUCCAACUUAAUGAAAAAAGACACCUUUGGA